rnacentral:rRNA from 1 species
AACGAACGCUGGCGGCAUGCCUAACACAUGCCAGUCGAACGAGACCUUCGGGUCUAGUGGCGCACGGGUGCGUAACGCGUGGGAACCUGCCCUUAGGUUCGGAAUAACUCCCCGAAAGGGGUGCUAAUACCGGAUAAUGUCUUCGGACCAAAGAUUUAUCGCCUUUGGAUGGGCCCGCGUUGGAUUAGCUAGUUGGUAGGGUAAAAGCCUACCAAGGCGACGAUCCAUAGCUGGUCUGAGAGGAUGAUCAGCCACACUGGGACUGAGACACGGCCCAGACUCCUACGGGAGGCAGCAGUGGGGAAUAUUGGACAAUGGGCGAAAGCCUGAUCCAGCAAUGCCGCGUGAGUGAUGAAGGCCUUAGGGUUGUAAAGCUCUUUUACACGGGAUGAUAAUGACAGUACCGGGAGAAUAAGCUCCGGCUAACUCCGUG